CACGUAGGGCGCCAGCGUUGUCCGGAAUUAUUGGGCGUAAAGAGCUCGUAGGCGGUCUGUUACGUCUGCUGUGAAAACCCAGGGCUUAACCCCGGGCUUGCAGUGGAUACGGGCAGACUAGAGGCAGGUAGGGGAGAAUGGAAUUCCCGGUGUAGCGGUGAAAUGCGCAGAUAUCGGGAGGAACACCGGUGGCGAAGGCGGUUCUCUGGGCCGGACCUGACGCUGAGGAGCGAAAGCGUGGGGAGCGAACAGG
rnacentral:rRNA from 1 species